AGUAAGUUGAGUAGUCGCGUGUAUCUUUGAUACAUGAGGAAAGUCCGUGCUCCACAAAGCGAGAUGCUGGAUAACGUCCAGUGGAGGUGACUCUAAGGCUAGUGCAACAGAAAUAUACCGCCUAGUUUACUAGGUAAGGGUGGAAAGGUGAGGUAAGAGCUCACCAGCAUUUAGGUGACUAAAUGGCUCUGUAAACCCCAUCUGGAGCAAGACCAAAAGGGAAUACAAAACAUAGUAGCUUUGAUAUGAUUCCAAAAUGGUAGGUCGCAUGACUUUAUCGGUAACGAUAAGGCUUAGAUAGAUGACUAUUUAAACAGAACACGGCUUAUAGAUUUACUCAU
rnacentral:RNase_P_RNA from 1 species